GGAAUAUGUACCAAGGAACAGUAAGUGCUAUGUCAAAGGAGAAGAAGAAAUGACAACAUAUUGCUGGAAGGGAAUGCAAGUCAAACAAUAAGUGGAAGACUCUUGAGCUUAGUCACCCAGGUUAUGACAUGAAGGUCAGUUUGGUCUCUCUCUUCAUUUCCUCCCGCCCCACGGGGAGUCAUCUGCUUGAGGAAGGAAAGACACAUUGCCGGGCUACAGCGCAGGGCCCAUUGUCAUGCUGAGCCACCCUUGCUUCCCUGCAGGCCUCCUGAGUCGCAGCCUAGGAAUGUAGCAAGAGGUGAGCCAGUGUGGCCGGGUUUUCCUCUCCCACACGCCAAAUAUGUCCACAGCUUCGGGUACCACUUUCCUCUGAGCAAAUUCUUCCCCACUCUCUUUCAAAAUGUUAAUUAGAGUUUAUCCACUAUGUUCCCAGCAUUACCACUUUUUGAGCAGGUAAAUCAGAUAAUUCUUCUCAUGAGCUUCAGCUUCCUGCUGAGUUGUGUACUCUCUCGCGGAAUGACUGAGGAAAGGUGCUGUGCACAGUUGGUCCAGUUAAUGUGUGGCUG
rnacentral:lncRNA from 1 species